UACAGAGGGUGCAAGCGUUAAUCGGAAUCACUGGGCGUAAAGGGCGCGUAGGCGGGAAUGUAAGUCGGGCGUGAAAUCCCUAGGCUCAACCUAGGAACUGCACUCGAAACUGCGUUUCUUGAGUAUCGGAGAGGAAAGCGGAAUUCCUGGUGUAGAGGUGAAAUUCGUAGAUAUCAGGAGGAACACCAGUGGCGAAGGCGGCUUUCUGGACGGUAACUGACGCUGAGGCGACGAAAGCGUGGGGGAGCAAACAGG
rnacentral:rRNA from 1 species